rnacentral:rRNA from 1 species
AUGGCUCAGAACGAACGCUGGCGGCGCGUCUUAAGCAUGCAAGUCGAACGGCAAGAGGUAGCAAUACCUCCUAGAGUGGCGGACUGGUGAGUAACACGUGGGUGACAUACCCUUCAGAUGGGGAUAGCUAUUAGAAAUAGUAGAUAAUACCGAAUACGAGCACAGGGGUUAGAGAUCUGUGAGGAAAGGAGCUAAGGCUCCGCUGAAGGAAUGGCCUGCGGCCCAUUAGCUAGUUGGUGAGGUAAGGGCCCACCAAGGCGAUGAUGGGUAUCCGGCCUUAGAGGGUGAACGGACACAUUGGGACUGAGAUACGGCCCAGACUCCUACGGGAGGCAGCAGCUAAGAAUAUUCCGCAAUGGACGAAAGUCUGACGGAGCGACGCCGCCGUGGAUGAAGAAGGCCGGAAGGUUGUAAAAUCCUUUUGAAACUGAAGAAUAAGCGUUGUAGGGAAUGACAGCGUGGUGACAGUAGGUUUUGAAUAAGCAACGGCUAAUUACGUGCCAGCCGCCGC